AUGAUCCCCAGCUUGCUGGGGGUUUUAGUGGCGAACGGGUGAGUAACACGUGAGUAACCUGCCCUUAACUCUGGGAUAAGCCUGGGAAACUGGGUCUAAUACCGGAUAUGACUCCUCAUCGCAUGGUGGGGGGUGGAAAGCUUUUUGUGGUUUUGGAUGGACUCGCGGCCUAUCAGCUUGUUGGUGAGGUAAUGGCUCACCAAGGCGACGACGGGUAGCCGGCCUGAGAGGGUGACCGGCCACACUGGGACUGAGACACGGCCCAGACUCCUACGGGAGGCAGCAGUGGGGAAUAUUGCACAAUGGGCGCAAGCCUGAUGCAGCGACGCCGCGUGAGGGAUGACGGCCUUCGGGUUGUAAACCUCUUUCAGUAGGGAAGAAGCGAAAGUGACGGUACCUGCAGAAGAAGCGCCGGCUAACUACGUGCCAGCAGCCGCGGUAAUACGUAGGGCGCAAGCGUUAUCCGGAAUUAUUGGGCGUAAAGAGCUCGUAGGCGGUUUGUCGCGUCUGCCGUGAAAGUCCGGGGCUCAACUCCGGAUCUGCGGUGGGUACGGGCAGACUAGAGUGAUGUAGGGGAGACUGGAAUUCCUGGUGUAGCGGUGAAAUGCGCAGAUAUCAGGAGGAACACCGAUGGCGAAGGCAGGUCUCUGGGCAUUAACUGACGCUGAGGAGCGAAAGCAUGGGGAGCGAACAGGAUUAGAUACCCUGGUAGUCCAUGCCGUAAACGUUGGGCACUAGGUGUGGGGGACAUUCCACGUUUUCCGCGCCGUAGCUAACGCAUUAAGUGCCCCGCCUGGGGAGUAC
rnacentral:rRNA from 1 species